rnacentral:misc_RNA from 1 species
GAUGAAGAACGUAGCGAAAUGCGAUAAGUAAUGUGAAUUGCAGAAUUCAGUGAAUCAUCGAAUCUUUGAACGCACAUUGCGCCCGCCAGUAUUCUGGCGGGCAUGCCUGUUCGAGCGUCAUUUCAACCAUCAAGCCCCAGGCUUGUGUUGGAGCCCUGCGGCUGCCGCAGCCUCCCAAAACCAGUGGCGGGCUCGCUAUCACACCGAGUGCAGUAGUUUACUCUUCGCUCAGGGCGUGUGGCGGGUGCUAGCCGUGAAACCCCCAACUUCUCAAGGUUGACCUCGGAUCAGGUAGGAAUACCCGCUGAACUUAAGCAUAUCAAUGAGCGGAGGA